AAACAAGCAGAGUAAAGGCAGACGGUGGAUGCCUGGGCAGUGCGAGGCGAUGAAGGGCGUGGCUGGCUGCGAUAAGCCUCGGGGAGCCGUCAAGCAGGCUUUGAUCCGAGGAUGCCCGAAUGGGGUAACCCACCGCGCGCAAGCGCGGUAUCCCGCGCUGAACUGAGUAGGCGCGGGAGGCGAACCCGGCGAAGUGAAGCAUCUCAGUAGCCGGAGGAGGAGAAAUCAACCGAGAUUCCCCUAGUAGCGGCGAGCGAACGGGGAGGAGCCUAAACCGCUUGAGCUUAUAGGCCACAGCCGUUGCUCAUGCGGGGUUGCAGGACGGUGGCGGGAGUCGCUGUGGCGGCUCCGAGGAGUGAGAAAAGCUUUCUCUAGUCGAACCGCUGGCAAAGUCACUGAAAAGAGCGACCGGAGAGGGUGAUAGUCCCGUAGACGAAAGGGGAAGCUCUCCUCGGCUAUCGUCCUAAGUAGCGCCGGGCACGUGAAACCCGACGCGAAGCUGGGAGGACCACCUUCCAAGGCUAAAUACUACCACUGACCGAUAGCGCACAAGUACCGUGAGGGAAAGGUGAAAAGCACCCCGGGAGGGGAGUGAAAUAGAACCUGAAGCCGUCUGUCUACAGACAGUCGGACCGGCCUCCGCCUGGAGCGGAAACCUUGUCGCCUUUGGCAACAAGGCGAAUUGCCCAGACGGAGUCUGGGACGGCAUGCCUUUUGCAGUAUGAGCCGGCGAGUUAUCCUCCGUGGCUAGGUUAAGCCGCAAGGCGGAGCCGGAGUGAAAGCGAGCGUGAAUAGCGCGGAAGUCACGGGGGAUAGACCCGAAGCCAGGCGAUCUACCCAUGGCCAGGAUGAAGCCUAUGUAAGAGUAGGUGGAGGUCCGAACCUACUGGAGCUGAAAAUCCAGGGGAUGAGCUGUGGGUAGCGGCGAAAAACCAAACGGGCCUGGUGAUAGCUGGUUCUCCCCGAAAUGCAUUAAGGUGCAGCCUCCUGUCUGAAGCCGGCGGGGGUAGAGCACUGGAUGGGUGAGGGGAAACCCGAGCCCAACCAAACUCCGAAUACCGCUGGUGGAUUCAGGGGAGUGAGACUGUGGGGGAUAAACUUCAUAGUCGAGAGGGGAACAACCCAGACCGCCAGCUAAGGCCCCCAAGACUGAGCUAAGUGGGAAAGGAUGUGCGGUUGCUGAAACAGCUGGGAGGUUGGCUUAGAAGCAGCCAUCCUUCAAAGAGUGCGUAAUAGCUCACCAGACUAGCGAUCGCGCGCCGAAGAUUUAACGGGGCUUAAGCUCAGCGCCGAAGCUGCGGACCGCUAGCACUGCUAGCGGCGGUAGGGGAGCAUUCCGCGUUAGGGUGAAGCCAGACCGGAAGGGCUGGUGGACGAGGCGGAAGGGAGAAUGCCGGCAUGAGUAACGCGAGCUGAGUGAGAAUCUUGGCCACCGCAUGCCUAAGGUUUCCUGGGGAAGGCUCGUCCGCCCAGGGUUAGGCGGCCCUAAGCCGAACCCGAAAGGGGUUAGGCGAUGGAGAGCCGGUUAACAUUCCGGCCCCUCCCUCGGGCGCUACCAGCGACGGGGUGACGCUGCAGGCUGGGCCAGCCGGGUGACGGAAGUCCCGGUCCAAGCGCUGAGCCGUCGGGCGGUAGGCAAAUCCGCCGCCCGGCUAAGGCGAGGCGUGAUGGGGAGCCCCUACGGGGGCGAAGGAAGCCCGAGUCAGCAGCCGAGAAAAACCUCUAGCGAGCCGCGAGGGAGCCCGUACUGCAGACCAACACAGGUAGGCUGGGAGAGUAUCCUAAGGUGGGCGAGAGAACCUCCGUCAAGGAACUCGGCAAAAUGGCCCCGUAACUUCGGGAGAAGGGGUGCCACCUUCGGGUGGCCGCAGAGAAACGGCCCGGGCGACUGUUUACCAAAAACACAGGUCCCUGCUAACUCGAAAGAGGAUGUAUAGGGACUGAAACCUGGCCACUGCUGGAAGGUCAACGGGAGGGGUGCAAGCCCCGAACUGAAGCCCUAGCGAAGGCCGGCCGUAACUAUAACUCGACCGUUGUAGUUACGAAAAUAAACCCGACUAUAUGCUGGAAAGUCCGGAGUAUCCGGCGGUACUGGCGCCUGAGUCGCAGGCGCAGUGACAAACCGGCCGGUGCGGACAAUCAGCAGGAAAGGCCCAGGCCGUGCCAUUGAGGAGGAGGUGUAUCCAUAUGGCGAAUAUCAAGAGAGUUCCUCCUCAAAUCGGCUGGUAUCUCGCGGGCUUUGCAGAUGGCGAAGGCAGUUUCAACGUCGUCUUCAGGCCGCGCGAUGACUACCGGCUCCCUUGGAAGGUCUCUCUCUGCUUCAACAUCUCACAACGAGAUAGGGUCAUCCUCGCCCUGUUCAAGCGCCACUUACAGUGUGGCACGAUGAGGCAGCGUGAGGAUGGGGUCUGGUACUAUGAGGUCAACAAGCUCAAGCCGAUUCUGGACAAUGUCAUCCCCUUCUUCAAACGGUUCAAUUUCCUCUCAGCGAAGAAGAAGAGAGACUUCGCCAAGUUCUGCCAGAUCGCACAGCUAAUGGAGCAGGGAGCACACCUUCACAAGGAGGGGAUCGAGAAGAUCCUCGAGAUCCGCCGCGAGAUGAAUGAUGGCGGCAGGCGGCGCUAUGACGAGGGAGAGAUCCUGGCACGGUUCAGGGAAUCCCCAGAGACCAUACGUCGGGCACCCCACAAGGGUGAAGAGAUGGUCCGGUCUCCGUAGCGAUACGGAGAGUCCGCUCCGGUGGACUGCAUUCCGAUAUGGGAAUGUAACAGAAGACAAACGGUCCUAAGGUAGCGAAGUUCCUUGUCGGGUAAGUUCCGACGCGCAUGAAAGGCACAACGACCUGGGCGCUGUCUUGACGGGGGGCUCGGUGAAAUUGAAACACCGGUGACAAUGCCGGUGACCCACAGCAGGACGGAAAGACCCCGUGGAGCUUUACUGGAGCUUGGCACUGGGCCUUGGUGUCGGCUGUGCAGGAUAGGUGGGAGGCUGUGAACCGGUCCCGCUAGGGGCCGGGGAGCCGUCCUUGAGAUACCACCCUGCCGAUGCUGAGUCUCUAACCUCCUGCCGCCAGAAGCGGCAGAGGGACAGUGCUUAGCGGACAGUUUGACUGGGGCGGUCGCCUCCUAAAAGGUAACGGAGGCGCGCAAAGGUCCCCUCAGCCGGGUUGGAGAUCCGGCGUGGAGCGUAAGGGCAGAUGGGGGCUUGACUGUGAGACUUACAAGUCGAGCAGACGCGAAAGCGGGCCCUAGUGACCCACCGGUGCCGUGUGGAAGGACCGGUGAUCAUCGGAUAAAAGUUACCCCGGGGAUAACAGGCUAGUCGCGCCCGAGAGUUCACAUCGACGGCGCGGUUCGGCACCUCGAUGUCGGCCCUUCCCAUCCUGGGGCUGAAGCAGGUCCCAAGGGUUCGGCUGUUCGCCGAUCAAAGGGGAACGCGAGCUGGGUUCAGACCGUCGUGAGACAGGUCGGUCCAUAUCCGCUGUGGGCGCAGGAGACUUGCGGGGCUCUCUCCCUGGUACGAGAGGAUCGGGAGGGCCGGACCGCUGGCGUGCCAGCUGUCCCGCCAGGGGCAUCGCUGGGUAGCUAAGUCCGGGUUGGAUAAGCGCUGAAGGCAUCUAAGCACGAAGCCACUCCCAAGAUGAGGUCUCCUAGGUCCCUCCGAGAUAAGGAGGUAGAUAGGCCGCAGGUGUAAGCACGGUAACGUGUUGAGCCGAGCGGUACUAAUCGGCCGAUCGCUUGCUCUC
rnacentral:rRNA from 1 species